GCUGGGCGUGGUGGCGGGCACCUGUAGUCCCAGCUACUCAGGAGGCUGAGGCAGGAGAAUCGCUUGAACCCAGGAGGCAGAGGUUGCAGUGAGCCGAGAUCGCCCCAUUGCACUCCAGCCUGGGUGACAGAGUGGGACUCUGUCUCAAAAAAAAAAAAAAAGUUUGUUACUUUUUUUUUUUUGAGACGGAGUUUCGCUUUUGUCACCCAGGCUGGAGUGCAAUGGGGCGAUCUCGGCUCACUGCAACCUCUGCCUCCUGGGUUCAAGCGAUUCUCCUGCCUCA
ensembl:misc_RNA RN7SL96P RNA, 7SL, cytoplasmic 96, pseudogene